rnacentral:rRNA from 1 species
UACGUAGGGCGCAAGCGUUAUCCGGAAUUAUUGGGCGUAAAGAGCUCGUAGGCGGUUUGUCGCGUCUGCCGUGAAAUCCCCGAGGCUUAACCUCGGAACUGCGUCUGAAACUACUCGACUAGAGUACUGGAGAGGGAAACGGAAUUCCUGGUGUAGCAGUGAAAUGCGUAGAUAUCAGGAGGAACACCGAUGGCGAAGGCAGGUCUCUGGGCUGACACUGACGCUCAUGCACGAAAGCGUGGGGAGCAAACAGG